rnacentral:lncRNA from 1 species
ACUAGGGAAAAGGGACAAAAGAACAGUAGAGAUAAAGAAAAGUGUUAGAAAGGGAGAGCAUAAAGCUAAAAAUCGGCUAAGUGAGCAAAGAAGGUGCGUACGAUAGCACAAAUUGAAAAAGAAAGAAAGAAACUAUGCCAAAGUACCAAAUUUACGAGAGUGAAAGGAGAGGAACAGCAGCACGGGGGGAAAAAUGCAGAAAUCGACAGAGAAAAACCAAGAGCAAAAAAAAAAAAGAAACUGAGAGAAUGAGUUGAGUAGCCAAAUUUGCCACCACCUAUUUUGGUUACCUUCAAACUCUUCUAUCCUUAUUUUUCUACCCAAAUCCGUUAAUCCACUCCAUAAAAUCGUCGACCCCUCCCUCAACAACCAAAUUCAAAUUCC